UAGGGAAUAUUAGAAAUGGACGAAAGUCUGAUCUAGCGACACCGCGUGUGCGAUGAAGGCCUUCGGGUUGUAAAGCACUUUUUGGAAGGAAUAGGAAGGAAGGUACUUCCAGAAUAAGUCUCGGCUAACUACGUGCCAGCAGCCGCGGUAACACGUAGGAGGCAAACGUUAUCCGGAUUUACUGGGCGUAAAGCGCGUGUAGGUGGUUCUGUAAGUAGGGAGUGAAAGCUCCCGGCUCAACUGGGAGAGGCCGUUCUAAACUGCAGAGCUAGAGGAUGGUAGAGGGAGGUGGAAUUCCAGGUGUAGCGGUGGAAUGCGCAGAUAUCUGGAGGAACACCAGUGGCGAAGGCGGUUCUCUGGACCUUUCCUGACGCUGAGAAGCGAAAGCGUGGGGAGCAAACAGG
rnacentral:rRNA from 2 species